AGUUGACCUACGGUAUGGUGUGAACAGGUUAUAUAUGGUGCAGUGUGAUAGUGGAAUAUACUGCAUCACAUGUAACCUCCCUACACCGUGCUGUGUCUCUCCU